GGAGGAUGUAUAGCUAUAGCCUACUUGCAUCAUCCUUAGAAUGAUGCAAGAUCGACUAAGUUGACUAAAAUUCUAGGUAGAAUUAUGAUAAUGACAUUGUCUGCCUAUGUGUCUUGACCAAAUUACGUGCCAGCAGUCGCGGUAAUACGUAGAAGACUAGUGUUAUUCAUGUUUAAUCGGUUUAAAGGGUACCUAGACGGUAGAUCAAGCUUUCUCAUAAGAAAUGGACUAAUUUACUAGAGUUACUUACGGUGGGGCUUUAAAGUACUGCUGGUGUAGAGAUGAAAUUCUAUUAUACCUCUUUUCAAAGGAAAAAUCAUGGCACAGGUAUAGGCGAAGGCAUCCCCUUAUGUGAUAACUGACGUUGAGG
rnacentral:rRNA from 1 species